rnacentral:rRNA from 1 species
GACAGAGGGUGCAAACGUUGUUCGGAAUUACUGGGCGUAAAGCGAGUGUAGGCGGUUUGGUAAGUCGGAUGUGAAAGCCCCGGGCUCAACCUGGGAAUUGCAUUUGAGACUGCGUAGCUAGGGUGCGGAAGAGGGAAGCGGAAUUUCCGGUGUAGCGGUGAAAUGCGUAGAUAUCGGAAGGAACACCAGUGGCGAAAGCGGCUUCCUGGUCCAGCACCGACGUUCAGGCACGAAAGCGUGGGGAGCAAACAGG